ensembl:lncRNA
GCUAUGUGGAGGGCCUGGUUGGAUCUGGAGGUGGGAGAAAGGUGAAGAGACCCCCCUGCAUCCCCCCCAUGUGGUAUACUCCUGCUGCCCACGGAGAUGAGCCAAGCCUGGGAUAGCUCCCAGUUUAAGUGUAAAAAGGCAGGAGUGCAUCUUGAACACUUUCUGCCUCUCCUCAAACACAAAGUCUUUAUACUGGAAUGCACUCCACAGGAAAAAAAUACCUCUCUCCCCCAUCACAAUGUGAAUAGCCUGAAGACUCAGCUGCUUCCCUGCAUGCUUCCUCUUUAAGUCUAAAGGUAUGAAUCUGCAGCUAGGAACCAGUGGUUAGAAGAAAGCACCACCUCACCAGAGCAAGCUCAAGGAGCUGCAUCUGUGCAGGAUGGGACCCUCUGUGCUGCUUGCCUUCACUGUCUGUAUACAGCUGCAUGGCCAUUUACCUCCUUGUAAAGCAGUCACCUCUGUGGUAUCACAUCAAGGAGCAGGGUGCCAGUGGCAGGAUGUGCUGGUGUCUCUGAAGAGCAUGGAAAGUAAAAAUGAGAGAAAUGGCUGGCCUUGCAAAAUAAAUAAAUAAAUAAAGUCACUCUGGCCCUUACUUUCUUCUUCCCCGCAAGUUCAGUGGCAUGGACACUGCUGCCCCAGCCAGCACGGGCUGCUGAGGGAAACUGCUGAAGGAAGUUGUAUCCCGUGGAUAAGGGGGACAAAGAGGAGGGAAGUAGUCGUCAUGCUCCCACGUAACCAGAAAUGAUUUCUGAGUGCUGCUGGCCAUCGUUGGUUUCUGGACACUGGGACUGGUACUGGGAGGAGCAGGGCAGAGAAGGACUGACAGGAGCCAAUUGUAAUGAGAGCUGGCUGUAGGAAAGGAGGAGCAUUACCAGCACCAGAGCACCUCAUCUUCCUCUCCAGCAGACUUCAGAAGAAUCACUAUGUUCCCAGGGCAUGGCUGCAGCUGAUCUCUGCAGGUGCAUCAUGGCAGCAACCAGCUUCCUUGCAGGGGAAAGCCUCAUCCAGCACAUUGCAGGUCUUCUGCUUUUCAUGACAUGUAACGGUAAUGCGCCAUUCUAGCGAGCUAAUUAUGUGUGAAG